rnacentral:lncRNA from 1 species
AAUAAUUGACUUCUAAGUAUACAAACAGAGAAAAAAAAAUUACCAUUUUUCAAGUUCAAUCUUUUCUCUCUUCUUAGAGUAUUAAUUUUAGUUGUUAAGUGCUGAUUCAAUUGCAAAUUGCUUAUUAAGCAUUCAAAUUACAGUUUUAUUUUUAAAAAACUUUAAAUCAAUAUUUAAUUUUGAAGUUUUAUUAUUGCCAAAAUCUAAAUUGUUCUCUUGCUGCAUACAAAUCUAUCUCUUAUCAUUAUAAAAUAUUCAGAGCAAACGGUACGUGAUAAAAACUAUCUUCGAAAUCUACGUCGGGGGGUGGUUCGACAGGACGCUGGCACGGCAGGGUGAAAGGAUGUCUGAAGGUCGUUCAUUGCCCCCAAAGAAUAACUGCCGACUAAAGCUAAUUGCGUUAAUUUCUUGCGUUGAAAUUCAAUAGAGUUAUGAAUAAAUUAAACAAGAUAGAAAAUUAUAUUAUAGAUAUAAAUCUUUUUAGAAAACAUGUUUAAAUAUAUAUAUGUGUGUGUGUGUAUUUAUUCUUAAAAAACAAUAGUUUUUAUACAAAAUUAUUUUUUGUUAAAACGCAUAUUAACAUAAAUUAUUUGAAAUAAAAAUAUAAAAAGUAUAAAUAAAAUAUUUUACGUCAAUUUCAAUUGUCUCAGAUGCAAAAAAGUAAAUUCUUCUAUUUAUUAUAUUAAUUAGUUUAAAUUACAAUCAACAAAUUUCUAUAUUAAUUAUUUAUUGGGUGUUUACGAAUGGUAAAGCAGAUUUUUUUAUAUAAUAAUAACAUUAAAUAUCUAAUUAAAUAUCUAAUUAAAUAUUUAUGUAAUACAUAAUAUAUAAAUGAUAAAUUAAAUAAUAAUAAAUUACCCUAAAUUGUAUUCUAAAAUUAUGAUAUUGAAGAUAUGAAAUAUAAGAAGUAGAUAUAACUUUGAUAUUAUUAGAUUAUAAGACAUUCUUCUCUUCGUUGGUUGCUUUUUUUAUGAUCAAACUUUUCUAAUCCCGGUAACGAAGAAAGUAAAGAAAGUUAACUCUGAUAAAACAGUUCUGUCCUGUAGAAAAAUACAUAUCUAGUGCAAUAUAGAGUAAUGAAACUUGAAGUUGCUUUCAAAAGUUAGAAUUGAACGGAAGGUAGAAAAUUCGAUGUUCUAUAAUGCAAAUCGAUCUUUAGUCCUGACAUGAAUGUGUAAUACUCACUCCUAAGAUCAAUUACCAGACGUCCAUCAAGAAAUAAGCCCGUUGAAAGCAAAUGACUCAUCUUCGCUCAAGAGCACUUCGUAAAUGUCGAGUUUUUUUUUAUGAAAAAAAUGAAACUCGUGAAUUACGUAGGUAGUCUGCUUUAAGCCUCAGCAUGGAGAUGUCGUUACUCGUCAAAACUAUUCUGGUACUACAAUUGUACAUGCUUUUAAAGAUACCUCUUAAAAUUUCAGCCAUUUUGGACGCUCAGUUGUUGUUUGACAGUCGUUUGUGUCAGUCGACGUCAGUGUUUUUGUAAAAAUGGAAAAAAUCAAAUAUCAUACCGUGAUUAAAUUUUUGCAUUUAAAAGGUAAUACGCCUGCGCAAACUAAAGCCGUGUUGGACGCUGUUAAGAGGAGUUUUGCUCCAUCAUUUGCCAUCGUCAAAAGAUGGGCAGCUGAAUUUAAACGUGGGCGUACCAACUUGGUUGAUAAUGAGCGUUCGGGGCGGCCAACAACUGCGACCACUACCGAUAACAUCGAAAAAAUUCACGAAAUGAUAUUGGAUAAUCAUUAAAUCAAUGUUAAAGAGAUAGUAAAAAUUAUGGACAUAUUGAAUUUAUCAUCUAUUACAUGAAGAAUUGAACAUGAGAAAGCUGACUGUGCCUUGGAUGCCACGCUUCUCACUUUGGCCCAAAAACGUAUUCAAAUAAAUAUUUCCAAAGCCCUGUUGGAGCGAUUUAAGCGAAACGAAUCGGAUUUUUUGCAUCGAUUCAUAACUGUAAAUGAAACUUGGAUCCAUUACUACACUCCUAAGACAAAAGAAAGAUCAAAACAGUGGAUUGCGAAGGGUGAAUCUGCUCCGAAAAAGUUGAAGACGGUUUCAUCGACCGAAAAGGUCUAAAGGUUCGCGUCAAUCAUCUUACCAUCUUAAGAAAACAAUCGUGCAAAUGUUUCGCCUUAUCGCUAACGUGGAAAGCUCUAGCGCGAAAUUGAAUGGCAAUGAAGGAGAGUCCUAAAUCGAGAUGGUGAUGAACGAAAGAAUAACACGGAAGCGAGAUUGAGGAUAGUCAGCUUCGACGUGACGAUGAGAAAGAAUCAGAUAAGGAAGCGUGGCUCUUCCACUGACAUUUCCUUUGUUUAAGAAUCAAGAUAAGGCCUGGCAAGGCCCAUAUGGAAGGUCCUAUGUUUGAGCACGGGCAGGAACAAACCGGGCGCACCUCCUUUCCUCUCACUCUCGAGUCAAAUAUUAUCGGGUGCGCGUAUACAUAUGUAUUUAUCCGCAUAGUUUACUCCGGACACCUGCCUGCAACCUAUGGAUCAGCACCUCGACACCUAACCAUCGCAUGAUUAAACCUCCCUUCAUUGGAAUUUUUCGCAAAAUAAAUAAUUGAUAAUCCAGUUUCUAUCGUUUUUUAUAAUUUAUUUAAUACUUUUGUUGAAGCUAAAUCAAACGACCGGUUUACUGCAACUGUGUGGUUAAAAGAUAUAAUUAUUUAUACUAAGACCAAAUAAAAGAACAAAUCGCGCAAUCGAAUCGUUUGAAACAGAAAUAUUCUAACUUUAAAAAAUGCAGUUAAAAGCAAUAUGUUUAAUCAAUUUGAGUUAAAUUUUUGAAUAUUUUUGAGAAUAGCGAAAACAAUAUCGUGUAAAAUAUUUAUUAUGCAAUAUAUUGACUCUUAAAAAUCUAUUUUAGAGAUUUAUAAAAUACACAACGAUGAAGUUGAAGAAUCUAACAAAAAAUAUAGGUAUACAAACAAUUAUAACUUCGAGAUCAUUUUUCCACAAAACCUCCAUCAAGAUUUAGGGAAAAUCGAAAACAUAUCCUAGAUAGAUCCUUUUGUGAAAAUCGAUGUCUUCGUGUAGAUAGGUCCCGUAUUUGCAAUGCACUUGUGACGGUGCGAGCUUGAAGCUGGCUCGAAUGACAUCGAUGGGCACCGUAGCAUAGUUUUCCCGGCCACGCAAAUAUUUGCUGGAAGGUGAAAGAGUCCUCUUUAAAUUCCACUGGGCAAUCGGCGCCUCAACGUUCAAAAUAACCUUAGAGUUUAAAGCUCCUCCUCUAAGAUCAACAGAGAUCAUAACGAGAUGAUCCUUUAACGGGUAACGGCAAUCGAGAGCUCGAAUUUCGUUCCCAGGACCGGUGCGCACGUUUGUGCUAUGCAGGAUUAAGCAAUCACGUGGACUGAUGGUACCUUGAUAGCGAUGCUAAUGUCGGGUCGAAAGGGCCUAGCACGCGUUUAUGGCCCUUCCGUUUGCUUAGGCAAAUCGAAGACAUUCGCGGUCGAAGGGCGAGUAUAUGUAUCUUCGGUGUUGGAAACCGUGAGCCUGCAAUAAAGAACUAUUACAGUGGCAUCAAAGUGACGAAGCCUACUCAUAAAAAAUUCUUUUUUUUCUCCCACUAGAAACACAUAGUUAUUACUAAAUAAACCAGGAGAACAUCCAGUGAACAUAAAAUGGAAGGAAGAUAUGAAAGAAGAAAAUGAAAAUUUUUUCUCCCUAAAUUUUUUUUUAAUAUAUCCAUGUUAUAUGUUGCGACACAUAUUUAUUAAAUUUGUAUAUCUCUCUCUCUUUUCUUUUCUCAACUUGAAA